rnacentral:rRNA from 1 species
AGCAGAGCACUCCUACGGGAGGCAGCAGUGGGGAAUAUUGACAAUGGGCGCAAGCCUGAUGCAGCCAUGCCGCGUGUAUGAAGAAGGCCUUCGGGUUGUAAAGUACUUUCAGCAGUGAGGAAGGUAGUGUAGUUAAUAGCUGCAUUAUUUGACGUUAGCUGCAGAAGAAGCACCGGCUAACUCCGUGCCAGCAGCCGCGGUAAUACGGAGGGUGCGAGCGUUAUCCGGAUUUAUUGGGUUUAAAGGGUCCGUAGGCGGAUUAAUAAGUCAGUGGUGAAAUCCCAUCGCUUAACGAUGGAACUGCCAUUGAUACUGUUAGUCUUGAAUGAGGGUGCAGUGGUUGGAAUGUGUAGUGUAGCGGUGAAAUGCAUAGAUAUUACACAGAACACCGAUUGCGAAGGCAGAUCACUAACCCUAAAUUGACGCUGAGGGACGAAAGCGUGGGGAGCGAACAGGAUUAGAUACCCUGGUAG